rnacentral:rRNA from 1 species
CAGCCGCCGCGGUAAUACGUAGGUGGCAAGCGUUGUCCGGAAUUAUUGGGCGUAAAGGGCUCGCAGGCGGUUUCUUAAGUCUGAUGUGAAAGCCCCCGGCUCAACCGGGGAGGGUCAUUGGAAACUGGGAAACUUGAGUGCAGAAGAGGAGAGUGGAAUUCCACGUGUAGCGGUGAAAUGCGUAGAGAUGUGGAGGAACACCAGUGGCGAAGGCGACUCUCUGGUCUGUAACUGACGCUGAGGAGCGAAAGCGGGGGGAGCGAACAGGAUUAGAUACCCCUGUAGUCCCUGUCUCUUAUAC